rnacentral:rRNA from 1 species
GGUGGUGCAUGGUUGUCGUCAGCUCGUGUCGUGAGAUGUUGGGUUAAGUCCCGCAACGAGCGCAACCCUUAAGCUUAGUUGCCAGCAUUCAGUUGGGCACUCUAAGGUGACUGCCGGUGACAAACCGGAGGAAGGUGGGGAUGACGUCAAAUCAUCAUGCCCCUUAUGACCUGGGCUACACACGUGCUACAAUGGACGGUACAAACGGUUGCCAACCCGCGAGGGGGAGCUAAUCCGAUAAAACCGUUCUCAGUUCGGAUUGUAGGCUGCAACUCGCCUACAUGAAGCCGGAAUCGCUAGUAAUCGUGGAUCAUCAUGCCACGGUGAAUACGUUCCCGGGUCUUGUACACAC